rnacentral:lncRNA from 1 species
ACCAGUCAUGCCCCCACCUAUGCAGUUCAGGCCACCACCAAAUAUGCCGCCGCCGCCGCCUCCUCAAGUAGCUUCAGCUAUGCAAAGACCCCCUCCACAACCAAUGGGAAUGGGUGCACCACCUCCAGUUUGGCGGCAGCCGCCACCACCUCCACAGCAAUUGCUUGGAAGACCCCCAAUGCCACAUAUGUCAAUGCCACCACCUCCGCCGCCCCAGGCCCCUCCGCCACCCCCAUCAGGUUGAAGACCUAAAAGCUUUUUGUAACUCGGUGAUAUUUUGACUAAAAUUUGUUGAUUG